AUCUGGUCUCAACGACAGCGCUGCAGUGGACAGAAGAGUAAGUUCAAGAAGACGUUGGAGACUAAGUCCGGAAACUGGAGGCCCAGAGUCUUGAAGGACACACUGGAAGCUGGACCUGAGGCAGUUGUGAGAGAGCCAGCAUGAAGGAAAAACCUACAUGAAUAUGUCCUCACCAAUCUACCUGUUGCAGAUGCAUCUGUUCAAGACAUCAUUGGUAGCAGCGAAUACUGCACAGUUCUUGCGGAGAAGAAGUCCAACCGUCAUACAGGAUAACACCCUGCAUCAUAUUUUGUGGCAAGACUACGGUGCUAAAUGUGAUAAAUUCAAAACAGAUCUAGCAGUUCAAAACUAGGCAUCUUUGAGGCACUGUGGGUCAGCAGCAGGAUUAGGUACCAAAGCUAUCUGUAACCUUAUGGCCUGACAGAUCAGUCAUUCUACCACUGCCGUCAAGCAAGGGGAGAAAUGCAGGAGAGCGUGCCAGGAACAAUACCAGGUGAACAUAAAAUGAGGGGCUAGGCUGGUGAAGCUACAACAUGGGAUUACAUGUAUGCGAUGGACAGAGAUAAGUGAUCCCAAAACCAACAAAUAAGAUCAAAUCUCUGCAGUCCUGCCAUAUCCAGUCAUCAAUGGUGGUAGACAAUUAAAUAACAAAUGGAAUAAUUGCACAGUGUUCAGAUUCAUUCUCAACUCCUCAUAUAAUGUAGCAAUCUGUACCGACACACAGCAAAACUUGGACAAUGUUCCAACUUGAGCUGAUAGAUGCCAAGCAACAUUCACACCACAAAAGUACCAGGUAAUGACUAUGGUUAGAAUCAUAUCUCUCAAGACUGAAUUUCUAUUUUACAAGAUGGAAGGACAGGGCAUUAUUUGUACAUUUGGAUGCUAACCUGUGCUUUUUUUAAAAAAAGAUUGUAAGUUCACCUUGAAACUGUCUACAGGCAGACCUCUUCCAAGAAAUCACCUGACCUUUAUGGUACUUGAGGAAGAUCUGAUUGUUUUGAGCAGCAAUCAUUUUAAUUGAUGGGAAAAAAACUGAAAAGGCAAAGCUUGGUAACUUGCUGGAAAUCAUAUGGAAGAGAUAAAAAAGCUUAAGUUGUGAACCUGCUGGUUUUGAAGGCAGUCUGGUUGGGGAACAAGCUGAGGAAGAAAGGCUACCCCAACUGGCUCUCUCUCUUUCAAUCUUGCCUGCAAUUGUGUGCAGCUAUCAGCCUAUCAACCUGUAGUCAGAGAACCCGCAUCCAAGGAUAUAAGUGGUCUGCAUUUGGAUCUACAAAUCUGAGACCAGUUGUUGAGAAGUUCCAGACAUCUACCGGAACCAGUGGCCCAUCUUCACAUGAGGGAACUCUAGGUUGACAACGUCGAGAUCCUGUGAAAUGUAUCCUUUAUUUUGUAACACCCAUCCUCUAAAAACUACCUCUGCAGAGAGACUCUAUUUGUUUGUCCUUUGUUUGUGUGUGUGUGUGUGCGCGCGCACUAGGGGAAUUCUUUGGGAAGAGAAAAAUAGUUUUACUUCCUGAUUACAGUUGUGUAUUAAUCAGUGCUUGCAACUUGUUAAAAAGAAGUUCUGUUCAAUAAUAAACAAUUGUUCUGAGUUUAUUGAAA